rnacentral:rRNA from 1 species
UACGUAGGGGGCUAGCGUUGUCCGGAUUUAUUGGGCGUAAAGAGCGCGUAGGCGGCCAGGUAAGUCCGACGUGAAAUCUGGAGGCUCAACCUCCAGCGGUCGUUGGAAACUACUUGGCUAGAGUCCGGAAGAGGAGAGUGGAAUUCCUGGUGUAGCGGUGAAAUGCGCAGAUAUCAGGAGGAACACCGGUGGCGAAGGCGGAUCUCUGGGCCUUACCUGACGCUGAGGCGCGAAAGCUAGGGGAGCAAACAGG